CAAGACGUAGCUAUAAUACAAAAGCAUUCAGCUUACACCUGAAAGAUAUCUGCCGCCUACCAGAUCGUCUUGA
rnacentral:tRNA from 1 species